AAGACCUUGCGCUUUUGGAGCGGCCGAUGCCUGAUUAGCUUGUUGGUAAGGUAAAAGCUUACCAAGGCUUCGAUCAGUAGCUGGUCUGAGAGGACGACCAGCCACACUGGGACUGAGACACGGCCCAGACUCCUACGGGAGGCAGCAGUGGGGAAUUUUGGACAAUGGGGGCAACCCUGAUCCAGCCAUGCCGCGUGAGUGAAGAAGGCCUUCGGGUUGUAAAGCUCUUUCAGCCGGAACGAAACGGUUACGGUUAAUACCCGUGACUACUGACGGUACCGGAAGAGGAAGCACCGGCUAACUACGUGCCAGCAGCCGCGGUAAUACGUAGGGUGCGAGCGUUAAUCGGAAUUACUGGGCGUAAAGCGUGCGCAGGUGGUUUUGUAAGUCAGAUGUGAAAGCCCCGGGCUCAACCUGGGAACU
rnacentral:rRNA from 1 species